UGCAUUGCCUGUAUACUCAACAGAUGGCU
rnacentral:piRNA from 1 species